rnacentral:rRNA from 1 species
AUUGAGCGCUGGCGGCAGGCCUAACACAUGCAAGUCGAGCGGAUGAAGGGAGCUUGCUCCUGGAUUCAGCGGCGGACGGGUGAGUAAUGCCUAGGAAUCUGCCUUGUAGUGGGGGAUAACGUCCGGAAACGGGCGCUAAUACCGCAUACGUCCUGAGGGAGAAAGUGGGGGAUCUUCGGACCUCACGCUAUCAGAUGAGCCUAGGUCGGAUUAGCUAGUUGGUGGGGUAAAGGCCUACCAAGGCGACGAUCCGUAACUGGUCUGAGAGGAUGAUCAGUCACACUGGAACUGAGACACGGUCCAGACUCCUACGGGAGGCAGCAGUGGGGAAUAUUGGACAAUGGGCGAAAGCCUGAUCCAGCCAUGCCGCGUGUGUGAAGAAGGUCUUCGGAUUGUAAAGCACUUUAAGUUGGGAGGAAGGGCAGUAAGUUAAUACCUUGCUGUUUUGACGUUACCAACAGAAUAAGCACCGGCUAACUUCGUG